rnacentral:rRNA from 1 species
CCGGAGGAAGGUGGGGAUGACGUCAAGUCCUCAUGGCCUUUAUGACCAGGGCUACACACGUACUACAAUGGCCGGUACAAAGGGCAGCCACUUAGCGAUAAGGAGCCAAUCCCGUAAAGCCGGUCUCAGUCCGGAUUGGAGUCUGCAACUCGACUCCAUGAAGUUGGAAUCGCUAGUAAUCGCAGAUCAGCACGCUCGCGGUCCGAAUACGUUCCGGGCCUU